UGGGGAAUUUUGGACAAUGGGCGAAAGCCUGAUCCAGCAAUGCCGCGUGUGUGAAGAAGGCCUUCGGGUUGUAAAGCACUUUUGUCCGGAAAGAAAUCCUUGGCUCUAAUACAGUCGGGGGAUGACGGUACCGGAAGAAUAAGCACCGGCUAACUACGUGCCAGCAGCCGCGGUAAUACGUAGGGUGCAAGCGUUAAUCGGAAUUACUGGGCGUAAAGCGUGCGCAGGCGGUUUGCUAAGACCGAUGUGAAAUCCCCGGGCUCAACCUGGGAACUGCAUUGGUGACUGGCAGGCUAGAGUAUGGCAGAGGGGGGUAGAAUUCCACGUGUAGCAGUGAAAUGCGUAGAGAUGUGGAGGAAUACCGAUGGCGAAGGCAGCCCCCUGGGCCAAUACUGACGCUCAUGCACGAAAGCGUGGGGAGCAAACAGGAUUAGAUACCCUGGUAGUCCACGCCCUAAACGAUGUCAACUGGUUGUUGGGGAAUGCAUUCCUUAGUAACGUAGCUAACGCGUGAAGUUGACCGCCUGGGGAGUACGGUCGCAAGUAUAAACUCAAAGGAAUUGACGGGGUCAUAGCUGUUUCCU
rnacentral:rRNA from 1 species